UAUACUUUGCUUAUGUGCAAA
rnacentral:piRNA from 1 species